UUAGGUACAUCAAAUGUGUCUAUCCAAGAAGAGCACAAUUUUAGAGUGUUUCUUUAUGGUUCUGAUUCCCCACCCCCAUGUUAAUAUCUCUGUAUGAUUACCACAUUACAAGUCUUCUUUUAUAUCCAAAAGGGGGACUAGCAAUCUUCAUCAAGCUUAUUGGAUUGGUUGUUCAUGCCUACAUCAAUGUACUGUUCAACAUCAAGCUUAUUGGAUCAGCUGUUUAUGCCUAAAUCAACCAAACAAGUACAGAGUUAUCUUAUGUUAUUUCAAGGUAAAUCCUUCUAUUUUUUGGAGAAGCAAAGCUAACUACUUUGAAGCAGGUAAAUCCUUCGGUUUAUGUUGUACUUAUACAGAUACCUUGGAAUUUCAGGCUAGAUAUAUACUUUUUCCUGGUUGUUUUUAUUGAAGUUCGAGUGCUUCACAACUUACAAUUUGUUUUUUGGUUCCCUAUUCGAAGAGCUUCUGUUGUGCAUGUGGGGAAGAAGCCAUAUCACGUCUCAUAGGAAUUUUCUCGAUCACGGCAAUUAUUAGUGGAGCAUAGUACAAUUUCAAAGAGAUGAUCACGACAAUAAUGGCAGACAGGGGAAUCGAGGGACGGCACCGAAUCGUCUCCUCUCCCUUGUGGUUUAAAUACCGGAGGAAUGGGAGGAGGCGUCUUGCUCCUUGUUCGUUCCCGCUGCUGCCGGCGGCCAGAGCUUCCUGAUCAGAAAGCUUGUGAUGGCCGUAGAGGGUGGCAAGGACUGCCUCGGUGACUUCACUGACGACCUCCUCCGGCAUCUGUUGUCCCUUCUUCAGCCCGAAGAUGCCCUGAAGACUUGUGUGCUAGACACCAGGUGGCGUGAACUAUGCAGGCGCACCACUAGCCUGCACUUUGUCACUCUCAAGCGUUGGCUGUAGAAGUUCUCUGCCAACCCAGCUGUACAUGCCGCAGAUUAUUUCAAUCGGAAGGCGUCAUGAUGGUAUUGCUACAGAUGUAUAAUCUGUAGAUCAUGUUGAGUUCUCCUUUACUUGAUCAUUCUUUAUUUGCUAUCCUUUCAUCCUCAAUAUUUCAGAGAUAACGCCCUAUUAUGGUAACUACUAGAGUGUUCCCUUCUUACACCCCAGUUUAAUAGGGUGUUUGCUCUUAUGGUGACACCUAACACCCUAUUAAACUGUCCAAAAGUCUUAUAUUUAGGAAGAGCUGUUUUACGGUGAUUGG